CUUUUUUGGAUGCUCUCCGAUAAGGAUUCUUUUAGCUGUUGUAGCCAUCUGGAAACUCUGAAGUGAGACACUUGUGUGACCUGGAAUGAGCCCAAAUGUCCUUAUUUUGCCAGUGAUGGAGAGAUAUUGGGAGGACGUAACAGAAGAAGUGAUGUAAGAGGCAGUGCAAUCAUGCUAUUUAUCAAAAGGAACACUCGACAAUCACAAUGGACUUCAGAGCUGUGUCCUGAGCCAUCUGGUCAACUCUUGGCAAGAAACUUCUUUGUUCUUUAGAGACUGAGCUUUAUCCCCAAGCACUAACAGAAUUGAAGUGGAAGAAGUUGGAAUUAUUCAUUUUGGUGCUGUGACACAAUGAGGUUCCUGCUCCCAAGAGGCUGAACCUGGCCUUGGAGUACAUGGGAUUUUAGGAAUGGAAUAAAGCCCAUUCUGCCUGUCUCACUCCGAAUUGCUCAGGCUGUAAGAUGUGGUACUGGGGGUAGUACUAGCCUCCAUAUUUCAUACCAUGUGGUGUGGCCUGCACAGUCCAAUGGAAGAUGAAGCACAAGCCCAGGAGAGCAAGAGGACAGACAACGCAAGUCCUUGGUUACAGUUGCUCCCAGGGUCAGUGCCAGAUUUCUGUUCUUGAAUUGUGUAAAACACUCUGCUAUCCUGAUUUCCCCUUUUUGAUUAAACUGGU